ensembl:ncRNA Y54G11A.18 ncRNA
UCAGUGACUUUUUAAUAAAAAAUUUGCAUUAUCUUGCUUUUUCAGUUCUCUUUCCGAUAAAAAUACACGAAUAAUGAAGAAAAUCACUGAAAUAAUGAGAAUAAAUAAAAUAAAUUAAUAAAAAAAUAAUGCAAGC